UUUCCGUAGGUGAACCUGCGGAAGGAUCAUUAUUGAAUAACCGAGGUGCGAGGGCUGUCGCUGACCCGAAAGGUCGUGCACGCCCGAGUGCCCUCACACACAUCCAUCUCACCCCUAUGUGCACCAGCGCGUGGGUCCCCCUUUGGCUUGUUCGGAGCGCUGCUUACGUUUUCACACAAACUUUGUAUGCAGUGUAGAAUGUAUUUUUUGUUUUUGCGAUCACGCAAUCAAUACAACUUUCAACAACGGAUCUCUUGGCUCUC
rnacentral:misc_RNA from 1 species